rnacentral:rRNA from 1 species
AGUGAACGCUGGCGGUAGGCCUAACACAUGCAAGUCGAACGGCAGCACAGGAGAGCUUGCUCUCUGGGUGGCGAGUGGCGGACGGGUGAGGAAUACAUCGGAAUCUACUUUUUCGUGGGGGAUAACGUAGGGAAACUUACGCUAAUACCGCAUACGACCUACGGGUGAAAGCAGGGGAUCUUCGGACCUUGCGCGAUUGAAUGAGCCGAUGUCGGAGUAGCUAGUUGGCGGGGUAAAGGCCCACCAAGGCGACGAUCCGUAGCUGGGCUGAGAGGAUGAUCAGCCACACUGGAACUGAGACACGGUCCAGACUCCUACGGGAGGCAGCAGUGGGGAAUAUUGGACAAUGGGCGCAAGCCUGAUCCAGCCAUACCGCGUGGGUGAAGAAGGCCUUCGGGUUGUAAAGCCCUUUUGCUGGGAAAGAAAUCCAGCUGGCUAAUACCCGGUUGGGAUGACGGUACCCAAAGAAUAAGCACCGGCUAACUUCGUGCCAGCCGCCGCAGUAA